AACAACCUGGCGGCGUGCCUAACACAUGCAAGUCGAGCGCGAAUGGAGCAAUCCUAGUAGAGCGGCGCACGGGUGAGUAACACGUGGGUAAUCUGCCUGGAAGUCCGGGACAACCUGCCGAAAGGCUGGCUAAUACCGGAUAAGCCCACAGGGUCUUCGGACCUCGAGGGAAAAGAUGGCCUCUGCAUGCAAGCUAUCACUUCCAGAUGAGCCCGCGGCCCAUCAGCUAGUUGGCGGGGUAAUGGCCCACCAAGGCAACGACGGGUAGCUGGUCUGAGAGGACGAUCAGCCACACUGGAACUGAGACACGGUCCAGACUCCUACGGGAGGCAGCAGUGGGGAAUUUUGCGCAAUGGGCGAAAGCCUGACGCAGCAACGCCGCGUGUGUGAUGAAGGUCUUCGGAUCGUAAAGCACUUUCGAACGGGACGAAAACUCGCUGGCCAAUAUNCAGCGAUCUGACGGUACCGGGAGAAAAAGCACCGGCUAACUCUGUGCCAGCAGCCGCGGUAAUACAGAGGGUGC
rnacentral:rRNA from 1 species